AUUUAAUCAUUCUUUAUAAAUUUCUGUUAAUUUUAAAAAAGUAAUAAAAUAAAAAUUAGUAAAACUAGUAAGAAAAAGUUAUUAGAUUAGAAUUUUUUGUUGGAUUAUAAUCUAAAACAGAUUUAGACCUAACAUUUCAACAUAAAAUAUACUUGUAGGUAAUAGUUUCAAAAUUAGAUGCAGCAUGGCCGCUGAGCUGAUCCAUUACAAUAAGAGACUGUUUGGUUGCAUAUAGUUAUAAUUAUAUUGCAGUUGUAAUUACAUAUAAACUCAAAUUGGGUAUUUGGUUUUAUGUAUUUGAAUUUAGUUGCUGCAGUUGGCAUUGCAUUAGGAGAUCC
rnacentral:lncRNA from 1 species